rnacentral:rRNA from 1 species
CCUCGCGUCUAAAGAGGAGCCUGCGGCGGAUUACUAGUUGGUAAGGUAACGGCUUACCAAGGCGAUGAUCCGUACCGGCUGAAGGGCGGCGGCACACUGACACUGACAUACGGGUCAGACUCCUACGGGAGGCAGCAGUCGGGAAUUUUGGGCAAUGGGCGAAAGCCUGACCCAGCAACGCCGCGUGAAGGAUGAAAUCCUUCGGGAUGUAAACUUCGCAAGAACGGGAAGAAUAAGGAAGAGUUAAUAUCUCUUUCGA